GUCCCCAUCGUCUAGAGGCCUAGGACACCGGCCUUUCACGCCGGCAGCAGGGGUUCGAAUCCCCUUGGGGACG
rnacentral:tRNA from 1 species